UACGAAGGGUGCAAACGUUGCUCGGAAUCAUUGGGCGUAAAGGGUGCGUAGGCGGCGCGGUAAGUCGGGUGUGAAAUCUCGGAGCUUAACUCCGAAACUGCAUUCGAUACUGCCGUGCUUGAGGACUGGAGAGGAGACUGGAAUUUACGGUGUAGCGGUGAAAUGCGUAGAUAUCGUAAGGAAGACCAGUGGCGAAGGCGGGUCUCUGGACAGUUCCUGACGCUGAGGCACGAAGGCCAGGGGAGCAAACGGG
rnacentral:rRNA from 1 species